GACGAACGCUGGCGGCGUGCCUAAUACAUGCAAGUCGAGCGAACCGACGAGGUGCUUGCACCUUUGACGUUAGCGGCGAACGGGUGAGUAACACGUAAGGAAUCUACCUAUAAGUGGGGAUAACAUCCGGAAACGGGUGCUAAUACCGCAUAAUAACCGACACCACAUGGUGUAAGUUUGAAAGAUGGCUCUGCUGUCACUUAUAGAUGACCUUGCGGUGCAUUAGCUAGUUGGUGGGGUAAUAGCCUACCAAGGCCAUGAUGCAUAGCCGACCUGAGAGGGUGAUCGGCCACAUUGGGACUGAGACACGGCCCAA
rnacentral:rRNA from 1 species